rnacentral:rRNA from 1 species
CUGGCUCAGGAUGAACGCUAGCUACAGGCUUAACACAUGCAAGUCAGGGGCAGCAUUAUCGAAGCUUGCUUGAUAGAUGGCGACCGGCGCACGGGUGAGUAACGCGUAUCCAACCUUCCCAUCACUCAGGGAUAGCCCGCCGAAAGGCGAAUUAAUACCUGAUGGUCUCCUUUGCAGACAUCUAACGAGGAGUAAAGAUUUAUUGGUGAUGGAUGGGGAUGCGUCUGAUUAGGUAGUAGGCGGGGUAACGGCCCACCUAGCCGACGAUCAGUAGGGGUUCUGAGAGGAAGGUCCCCCACAUUGGAACUGAGACACGGUCCAAACUCCUACGGGAGGCAGCAGUGAGGAAUAUUGGUCAAUGGACGGAAGUCUGAACCAGCCAAGUAGCGUGCAAGGAUGACGGCCCUAUGGGUUGUAAACUGCUUUUGUGCGGGAAUAAAGUAUGGGACGCGUCCCAUUUUGCAUGUACCGCACGAAUAAGGACCGGCUAAUUCCGUGCCAGCAGCCGC